rnacentral:rRNA from 1 species
UACGAAGGGGGCUAGCGUUGCUCGGAAUCACUGGGCGUAAAGGGUGCGUAGGCGGGUCUUUAAGUCAGGGGUGAAAUCCUGGAGCUCAACUCCAGAACUGCCUUCGAUACUGAGAGUCUUGAGUCCGGGAGAGGUGAGUGGAACUGCGAGUGUAGAGGUAAAAUUCGUAGAUAUUCGCAAGAACACCAAGUGGCGAAGGCGGCUCACGUGGCCCGGU